GACGAACGCUGGCGGCGUGCUUAACACAUGCAAGUCGAACGAUGAACCCGGAGCUUGCUCCGGUGGAUUAGUGGCGAACGGGUGAGUAACACGUGAGUAACCUGCCCUUGACUCUGGGAUAACUGCGGGAAACUGUAGCUAAUACCGGAUACGACCCUCGGCGGCAUCGCCAGGGGGUGGAAAGAAUUUCGGUCAAGGAUGGACUCGCGGCCUAUCAGCUAGUUGGUGAGGUAACGGCUCGCCAAGGCAACGACGGGUAGCCGGCCUGAGAGGGUGACCGGCCACACUGGGACUGAGACACGGCCCAGACUCCUACGGGAGGCAGCAGUGGGGAAUAUUGCACAAUGGGCGCAAGCCUGAUGCAACAACGCCGCGUGAGGGAUGACGGCCUUCGGGUUGUAAACCUCUUUUAGUAGGGAAGAAGCGAAAGUGACGGUACCUGCAGAAAAAGCACCGGCUAACUACGUGCCAGCCGCCGCCGUAA
rnacentral:rRNA from 1 species